AGAAUUAUAAGAUUUUGAGCUUAGGAUCCUUAAGAUCAUCUAGGUUCUGAGUCUGGAGUCCAUGGACUUCCAUGUCUGUGAAGAUGAAUGGGAAAAAAAUUACAUCUUUAUUUUCAUGAGGCUAUAAUUGAAAUCUAGCAUUUUCUUGAAUUAUUUAAAUAUAUUAUCCUGAGAAGGGGUUUAUUCUCCAGAUUGUUAAAGGGUCCCAAGAUCCAAAAAAAAAGUUAAGAUUCUCUUGGUCUAAUCCAACUUCUUCAUUUUAUGGGUAAAGAAUUUGAGGACAAAAGUGAAGAAGUGAUUUAUUGUUAAAGGGUCCCAAGAUCCAAAAAAAAAAUUAAGAUCCCCUUGAUCUAAUCCAACUUCUUCAUUUUAUGGAAUAAGAAUUUGAGGACAAAAGUGUAGAAAUGAUUUGUUCAAGUCAUUCAGCUAAUAAGUCAAAGUGGAAUGGGGGCAAGGUAUGAAGAGAGAGUUUGGAGAGCAUGCUACCUGUCAUCCCAGAGGGAAGGAGCAUGAAUAGGGGAUAAGAAGACAACAGAGACCCUCUAGCCUUCUUAGAGUCUGGGACAAACUGGGAAUUCAGAUGGCCAACCUGGAUACUUCAAGAUGAGAGAACUGAGACUUAGAGUGAUUAGAAUUAAGAACAGAACUAAAAGAUAUAGAGAGCAGCUAGAUGGCUCAGCAGAUUGA
rnacentral:lncRNA from 1 species